rnacentral:tRNA from 1 species
GACCACGUAGCUCAGUCGGAAGAGCAUUGGGCUAGUAUUCCAAAGGUCGUAGGUUCGAAUCCCACCGUGGCCG